rnacentral:rRNA from 1 species
GUGAGGAAUAUUGGUCAAUGGGCGAGAGCCUGAACCAGCCAAGUAGCGUGCAGGAUGACGGCCCUACGGGUUGUAAACUGCUUUUAUGCGGGGAUAAAGUGAGGGACUUGUCCCUUUUUGCAGGUACCGCAUGAAUAAGGACCGGCUAAUUCCGUGCCAGCAGCCGCGGUAAUACGGAAGGUCCUGGCGUUAUCCGGAUUUAUUGGGUUUAAAGGGAGCGCAGGCCGGUGUGUAAGCGUGACGUCAAAUACAGCCGCUCAACGGUUGUCCGCGUCGCGAACUGCAUGCCUUGAGUACGCUGCAAGUGGGCGGAAUUCGUGGUGUAGCGGUGAAAUGCUUAGAUAUCACGAAGAACUCCGAUUGCGAAGGCAGCCCGCUGUUGCGUCACUGACGCUGAGGCUCGAAGGUGCGGGUAUCGAACAGG